CAGAUACUGAAAAUAUGAAUAAGUGUGUAUAUCCAUAGCAACAACUGAGUUUCCAGGGCUAUCAAGCUUACAGUGAGUUUGAAUAGUAAUGUAUUUCUCCUACAUAA
ensembl:snoRNA